rnacentral:rRNA from 1 species
UAGUAAUCGUAGGUCACGCAUACUACGGUGAAUACGUUCCCGGGCCUUGUACACACCGCCCGUCAAACCAUGAGAGUUGGCAACACCCGAAGUCGGUAGUCUAACCGCAAGGGGGCGCGGCCGAAGGUGGGUCCGGUAAUUGGGGUGAAGUCGUAACAAGGUACC